rnacentral:rRNA from 1 species
UUCGCAAUGCCCGAAAGGGUGAACGAGCGACGCCGCGUGCGGGAUGAAGGCCUUCGGGUUGUAAACCGCUUUUGCAAGGGAAAAACUUAAUGAUGGUACCUUGCGAAUAAGAGGUUACUAACUCUGUGCCAGCAGUAGCGGUGAUACGUAUGGUGCGAACGUUGUUCGGAAUCACUGGGCAUAAAGAGCACGUAGGCGGUUGAGCAAGUCCAUUGUGAAAUCCCCCGGCUUAACCGGGGAACUGCAGUGGAUACUACUUGACUUGAGUGCAGAAGGGGAGAGUGGAAUUCCUGGUGGAGCGGUGAAAUGCGUAGAUAUCAGGAGGAACGCCGGUGGCGAAAGCGACUCUCUGGUCUGUUACUGACGCUGAGGUGCGAAAGCUAAGGGAGCAAACGGGAUUAGAUACCCCGGUAGUCCUAGCCCUAAACGAUGGGCACUAAGUAGAGGGGUUUU